rnacentral:rRNA from 1 species
UGGGGAAUCUUGGGCAAUGGGCGCAAGCCUGACCCAGCAACGCCGCGUGAAGGAUGAAGGCCUUCGGGUCGUAAACUUCUGUCGGGAGGGAAGAAGGGUGUCAUUUCAAAUAGGCUUGGCAUUUGACGGUACCUCCAAAGGAAGCGCCGGCUAACUCCGUGCCAGCAGCCGCGGUAAUACGGAGGGCGCAAGCGUUGUUCGGAAUCACUGGGCGUAAAGCGCGUGUAGGCGGCUCGGAAAGUUGGUUGUGAAAUCCCGGGGCUCAACCCCGGAAGUGCAACCAAAACUACCGAGCUCGAGUCUCGGAGAGGGUGGCGGAAUUUCCGGUGUAGAGGUGAAAUUCGUAGAUAUCGGAAGGAACACCAGUGGCGAAGGCGGCCACCUGGACGAUGACUGACGCUGAGACGCGAAAGCGUGGGUAGCAAACAGGAUUAGAUACCCGCGUAGUCC